ensembl:lncRNA
GCGCCAUGUGAGCCACCAGCAAGAGAGGGUGCCAGCAAAAGGCAUCCUCUAUAAGAUAAAAGCUAUGGAUUCCUUCCAGACUAAUAUGGUUUGAUCAAGCAAGACCCUCUGAAGCUGAGACGAUACAGCCUUACAGACUACAAAAACAAGGACUUGGUCAGGUUUCUAUGUUUUAUCAUAAUCCCUAUGACACGAACAUUGCCCCUAAUCAGCAGGAAGCAGUUUAGAAAGAACGACGCCCAAAUCCCCAAAUAUUGUUUAUAAAUGUUUGUUUUCAUUUAAAUGGGUUUGAUUAUAAAUGAUAAUGAGCAUAGUCAAUCUCUUUUUAAAGAAAGAAAAGGGGGACUAGGAUAUAGGAAUGAAUACUUUGCAUUGGUAUAGAUUUUCAUUUAUUGAUACAACAUUAAGGUAAAUUUUGUGAUAUGUAUAUGUCUUUUCUUGUUUAGGCAUUAUGUUUAUACAGAUCUUUUUAAAUGAUAUGCAUAAUUAAAUAAGGUUAUAUAAUCGCCUAUGAUAGUCAGAACUUAUAAUUAGGUUAGUCAGGUUUUCUAGAUUUACAAAGAUGUAUUUGAGAUGGAUAGGUAUUCUUCAAACCUUUCAAAGACCUACAGAAAUAUGGCAUUUAAAUAGUUUAGGGUUUUUCUUGGCAGUGAGACACAACUGCUCCUGGCACACCAAUUACCUCAGAAAGGAGGAUGGGCAUGGAAUAAACUUGUUAUGGAGUUUGCUUUCAACAUAGCAAGAUUAGCCACUUGGGCAAGAAACUGCUCUUGCCUGGACUGUUUGUUGCUGAAUAAACUGGACAUGCAGGACCCACAAGACAGUGACUGCUGAACUUAUAAAACAAGACAGUACAGUGUUCCUGUUGAAAUGGAGAAGUGUGUCAGACACACUGUGGCCUACAGUCUGCAAUGGAUGCCCCAAUGUUACAAAGGAACUUUGGGUGACUGUCCAUGUAGCGGAUGUCUCUGUCAAUUCUAGAGUUUAUAUACUUUCCUUCUGUGGUCUUUGAUAGAGUUGAAGACAGAUAGUUAUGGUUAUAGUUUUCUUCAGUUAUUAUAAAAGAUAAGUUAUCCUUAUCUUUUAUAUGUACUAUGGGGAAUGUACUAUGCAUGUUCAUCUUACUGAUUAAUGAAUAAAGUACUUGUUUGGCCAAUGAGACAACAAGUUAGACGGGACUAGGAGUCAAAGAGGAUUCUGGGAAAUGUAGUAGAGAAGUGGUGAUCCAGACAGGAAGUGACAUAGCAAGGAGACUCAUAUUUAAACAAGGAGAAACAGGAAGUGUCCCUUUUCCCCUUCCUCCUCCAGCAGCGCCAUGUGAGCCACCAGCAAGAGAGGGUGCCAGCAAAAGGCAUCCUCUAUAAGAUAAAGGAGGCAAACUUUGAGGUCUUAUAUAUGCUCAAGUCAUGCCCAGUAAGACCACUUUCUGCAAGCCAAGAUGUAGGACGCUCUACUGCUUCCCCAGCACCUGAUUGCCUGCAUGCUGGCAUAUCAUGAUGAUAAUGGACUAACCCUGAAUAUAAAAUACAGAUUAUCAAAACUGGAUCAAGAUAAGACAGGAAGUCUGAAUAGACAAGAAUGUAAACCUGCAACCUGAAAUGCUUGUGACUCCAGAGCUCCAGAGUGUGAGGCAAGAAAAGUAGUCCAUUCCAGGUGGUUUACAAACACAUGGAAUAGUCCUCACCACACAAGAACUACCUCCACAGAACAAGAUGGCAGAAAUGAAGACUUGUGUUCUGUUGACUUCUCCUUGGAGACAAACCCUAUCCAUUUCAGAUAGUGCUGAGAAUUACAGACCUAAGAAACAAUCCCAUCAAUUGCAACUUGGUAAACUAAUGAGUUUAGUUUGGGUCACUUAUGGGUGAAGCAAUGCCUAAAAAAGCAUGGGCACUACACCAUCAAAAACCAGUUGUCUGGUCCCCCAAGGUAUCUGCAAGCUUGCCCAUAUCCCCAUUUGGAGAGGUGAGUAUCUGGGACCCCGGCUAGAGGACACUGCCCUGUGGGUCCUAAGCAACCAGGGCACUUGCUGUGUCCCACUCAUACCCACUGAAGCCCCAGAGUCCUGGAAGCAACCUCCCCACACCCUAGACUAUCACAAAUGACAUCUGUGUGUACAAGAGCUUUGACCCUGCCUAUACCAGGAGAACCCCAGAGCUGUAUCAGCAUCUGGCAGCACCUGUAGGAAAAGCAACUACCUAAGCUACAGGACCCACAUACACCAAUUGAAUGAAGGUAGACCCCCCCUGAAGCACAGGCCCCA